UUACGGCCACAUCACGUUGAAACACCGGUUUCCGUACGAUCACCGAAGUUAAGCAACAUCAAGCCUGGUCAAUACCUAGAUAGGUGACCGCUUGGGU
rnacentral:rRNA from 1 species